AUAUUCAAAUUUUUUUAGUUUCCUAUCCCACUCCCGGGUAAACAGAAAUCCUAUAUCCACUCCCAUCAAAACCGUUCCCCCAUUAUUUAUGCAUAACUUACCCACACAGAGGAGAAUUUCACUAUACGUCUUUGGUCGUGUUUCCAUUCUUUCCACUAUUCGGUGCUUCUAAUCCUUGCGUUUCCAGAUGUCUCCAUUCCCAUUAAAAGGAGCUCCAACAAGGCCACACAUGAAUAUACAUCUUUAGGUGAGAUUUUACAUAUGUAUGAUAUCAAUGUAGGAGGAAUAUACGGGACAAUCUCCGUCAUGCUAUGAUAUAUAUUCAUGUUUACUCAUACUAAGGAUCACGAGGGGAAGACUUUUCAUGUUAACAAAGCUAAAGAGGUUUAUGAUUUUUUGUGUCUCGACGUGCGGAUUUGGCACUGUUAGGAAAGGAAGUUGAUGAAAGUGAACUGUUUUAUACAUCUAUCGGAGGACAUGACCAUAAGAGAAGAAUUUAUGGGCUUGGAUCAUAUGGCACGUCCAUUUUUCAUGAAAACUCUUCUCAAACAUACACUUCACCUGAGACAACUUCUAAAAAACAUCAUUUUGACAUGAGAAAUAUGGUCAAUGAUAUGAGAAAAGUAGACAACCGAAGAACUUUAAUGACAUGAGAAAUAUAGUCAAUGAUAUGAGAAACACAAAUAAUAAGUGACAAGUUUUUUUUUUAUUGCAUGUUUAGGAUUUCUAUUUGAGUUUGACUAUUAGAUUAGUUUUGUUGGUGUUUUGGACAAAUCAUAAUUUAAUUCGAUCAUAAACUAUUUUUCAUUAAGAAUUUAUGUAACUUUUUUAUUGUUUAUUGCAAU